GCCUGGGUGGCUUGGUCGGUUGAGCGUCUGACUUCGGCUCAGGUCAUGAUCUCAUCAUGGUCCGUGAGUUCGAGCCCCACGUCGGGCU
rnacentral:tRNA from 1 species